UUUCACCAACGGAGGAAAUGAUCAAAACAACGUAGAUAUAAGAGCAAGAACACUUAUAAGUCACCAUGUUCAGUUUUUAGAGAACAGAAAAAAGGUAUUCGAAGAUGAAAAUCUUCCACUUCACGGUAGAAAGCUUGGGUUUGAAAUAUACAAAAAGAAAAAGAAAAAGAAAAAUAAAGAUGGCAAAUCAUUGGCAAAUCGGAGUGGA
rnacentral:lncRNA from 1 species